rnacentral:lncRNA from 1 species
AAGAAAAAGUACAGAUGAAGAAGAAAGAUUCAAAAUAUGAUAGAGCAUCAGAAAAGUACUGCUUGGGCUUUAGUAGUGCUCUGUAGAUUCAUAGCAAGGCGGGAUUUGUCAGGCAAGCUACAGUGCUUGGAGCUGAAGGGAACCAAUCACCACAGGACAGUGUCCUGAGAAAUGGCAAUCAAAGCUGGAAGUCCACCCAAGCUAGUAACCUAAGGAGACAUGGUGGUGAGGGAAAGUCCAUAUGGAAGCCCCAAGAUGGGCAGAAAACAUCGAGAGAUUUGGAAAUGGAGAGUGUGUCAACGAAGAGUUGAACUCUUCACUGUGACACAGCCCCCAGCAGAUCCUGAGAACAUGUGCCCAAGGCAGCCAAAAGAAGCCAGUUGGUGCUUUCGAUACAGUCAUACGUGUGGGGAAUUGGUUUCAGAAACACUGCAGAUACCAGAAUUCGAGGAUGCUCAAGUGCCUUAUAGAAAAUGGUGAGGCAAGAGAGACAGGAUUGCAUAUGGAGGUUCUUCUGGUCCAGGUCCAGAAGUGAUGUCAUCUCUUCUUCCUGAAUUCCAUUGGCCAGAACCCAGCCACGUGACUGACUGCUCAUAGCUUCAAGGAAGGCUGGCAAAUGUAGUUUACCCGUGUGUCCUGGAAAGACAGCAAUUAGUUAUUGGUGAGCAGCUAGCAUCCUCUGCCACAAUGUCCUUUCUUCUGUUCUUCAUAUUUUACUCCACAAGCCUUUGACAUUU